CUAGCCCUAAACGAUGAAUACUUGGUAAUAGGGAGUACAUACUCUUUAUCGCCGAAGCUAACGCAUUAAGUAUUCCACCUGGGGACUACGGCCGCAAGGUUGAAACUCAAAGGAAUUGACGGGGGCCCGCACAAGCAGCGAGGCAUGUGGUUUAAUUCGAUGCUACACGAAGAACCUUACCUGGGCUUGAUAUGUAGUGGAAAGCGGUAUGAAAGUACUGCCCUUGUUGUAGCAAUACAACAACCGCUAUGCAGGUGG
rnacentral:rRNA from 1 species